rnacentral:rRNA from 1 species
GAUGAACGCUGGCGGCGUGCCUAAUACAUGCAAGUCGAGCGAACGGACGAGAAGCUUGCUUCUCUGAUGUUAGCGGCGGACGGGUGAGUAACACGUGGAUAACCUACCUAUAAUACUGGGAUAACUUCGGGAAACCGGAGAUAAUACCGGAUAAUAUUUUGCACCGCAUGGUUCAAAAGUGAAAGACGGUCUUGCUGUCACUUAUAGAUGGAUACGCGCUGCAUUAGCUAGUUGGUAAGGUAACGGCGUACCAAGGCAACGAUGCAUAGCCGACCGGAGAGGGUGAUCAGCCACCCUGGGACUGAGACACGGCCCAGACGCCUACGGGAGGCAGCAGUAGGGAUUCUUCCGCAAUGGGCGAAAGCCUGACGGAGCAACGCCGCGUGAGUGAUGAAGGUCUUCGGAUCGUAAAACCCUGUUAUUAGGGAAGAACAUAUGUGUAAGUAACUGUGCACAUCUUGACGGUACCUAAUCAGAGAGCCACGGCUAACCACGUG